CCAAUAGCGUAUAUUAAAGUUGUUGCAGUUAAAAAGCCCGUAGUUGAAUUUUAGGCCUGGCCGGGCGGUCCGUCUUUGGCGAGUACUGUCCUGUUGUCGGGUCUCCCUUCUGGUGAUCCAGUAUGCUCUUUAUUGGGUGUGCUGGGGAGCCAGGACCAUUACCUUGAAAAAAUUAGAGUGUUUAAAGCAGGCUAUUGCUUGAAUAGAUUAGCAUGGAAUAAUAGAAUAGGACGUUGUGGUUCUAUUUUGUUGGUUUCUAGGACCACCGUAAUGAUUAAUAGGGAUAGUUGGGGGCAUUAGUAUUCAAUUGUCAGAGGUGAAAUUCUUGGAUUUAUUGAAGACUAACUAUUGCGAAAGCAUUUGCCAAGGAUGUUUUCAUUAAUCAAGAACGAAAGUUAGGGGAUCGAAGACGAUCAGAUACCGUCGUAGUCUUAACCAUAAACUAUGCCGACUAGGAAUCGGGCGACGUUAUUUUCAUGACUCGCUCGGCGCCUUAUG
rnacentral:rRNA from 1 species